GGCGAACGGGUGAGUAACACGUAGGUUAUCUGCCCAUCAGACGGGGACAACGAUUGGAAACGAUCGCUAAUACCGGAUAGGACGAAAGUUUAAAGGUGCUUCGGCACCACUGAUGGAUGAGCCUGCGGCGCAUUAGCUAGUUGGUAGGGUAAAGGCCUACCAAGGCGACGAUGCGUAGCCGACCUGAGAGGGUGAACGGCCACACUGGGACUGAGACACGGCCCAGACUCCUACGGGAGGCAGCAGUAGGGAAUCUUCGGCAAUGGGCGAAAGCCUGACCGAGCAACGCCGCGUGAAUGAUGAAGGCCUUCGGGUUGUAAAAUUCUGUUAUAAGGGAAGAAUGGCUCUAGUAGGAAAUGGCUAGAGUGUGACGGUACCUUAUGAGAAAGCCACGGCUAACUACGUGCCAGCAGCCGCGGUAAUACGUAGGUGGCGAGCGUUAUCCGGAAUUAUUGGGCGUAAAGAGCGCGCAGGUGGUUGAUUAAGUCUGAUGUGAAAGCCCACGGCUUAACCGUGGAGGGUCAUUGGAAACUGGUCAACUUGAGUGCAGAAGAGGGAAGUGGAAUUCCAUGUGUAGCGGUGAAAUGCGUAGAGAUAUGGAGGAACACCAGUGGCGAAGGCGGCUUCCUGGUCUGUAACUGACACUGAGGCGCGAAAGCGUGGGGAGCAAACAGGAUUAGAUACCCUGGUAGUCCACGCCGUAAACGAUGAGUGCUAAGUGUUGGGGGUCGAACCUCAGUGCUGAAGUUAACGCAUUAAGCACUCCGCCUGGGGAGUACGGUCGCAAGACUGAAACUCAAAGGAAUUGA
rnacentral:rRNA from 1 species